UACAGAGGGGGCAAGCGUUGUUCGGAAUUACUGGGCGUAAAGGGCGCGUAGGCGGCCUUCUAAGUCGAACGUGAAAUCCCCGGGCUUAACCUGGGAACUGCGUUUGAAACUACAAGGCUAGAGUGUGGCAGAGGGGGGGUGGAAUUCCACGUGUAGCAGUGAAAUGCGUAGAGAUGUGGAGGAACACCGAUGGCGAAGGCAGCCCCCUGGGUUAACACUGACGCUCAGGCACGAAAGCGUGGGGAGCAAACAGG
rnacentral:rRNA from 1 species